CCUACGGGAGGCAGCAGUGAGGAAUAUUGGUCAAUGGACGAGAGUCUGAACCAGCCAAGUAGCGUGAAGGAUGACUGCCCUACGGGUUGUAAACUUCUUUUAUAUGGGAAUAAAAUGUUCCACGUGUGGCUUUUUGUAUGUACUUUAUGAAUAAGGAUCGGCUAACUCCGUGCCAGCAGCCGCGGUAAUACGGAGGAUCCGAGCGUUAUCCGGAUUUAUUGGGUUUAAAGGGAGCGUAGAUGGGUUGUUAAGUCAGUUGUGAAAGUUUGCGGCUCAACCGUAAAAUUGCAAUUGAUACUGGCAGUCUUGAGUACAGUUGAGGUAGGCGGAAUUCGUGGUGUAGCGGUGAAAUGCUUAGAUAUCACGAAGAACCCCGAUUGCGAAGGCAGCUUACUAAACUGUGACUGACAUUGAUGCUCGAAAGUGUGGGUAUCAAACAGGAUUAGAUACCCGUGUAGUC
rnacentral:rRNA from 1 species